rnacentral:tRNA from 1 species
GUUGCUUUGGCAGAAUAGUGCAAUAGAUUUAGAAUCUUUUUAUGUAAUUUUUACAGGUAAUA